UACGUAGGGGGCAAGCGUUGUCCGGAAUUAUUGGGCGUAAAGAGCGUGUAGGCGGUCCGGUAAGUCAGCUGUGAAAGUCAAGGGCUCAACCCUUGAAAGCCGGUUGAUACUGUCGGGCUAGAGUCCGGAAGAGGCGAGUGGAAUUCCCGGUGUAGCGGUGAAAUGCGCAGAUAUCGGGAGGAACACCAAUGGCGAAGGCAGCUCGCUGGGACGGUACUGACGCUGAGGCGCGAAAGCUAGGGGAGCAAACGGG
rnacentral:rRNA from 1 species